UAGGUUCCGAAGAGUUCCUGGAACUCAUCAAGAGUGCACUUCUUACAGCCCUAGAAGCCUGUUUGUGAGCUUGGUAUUCCUCCUGAAAACAUCACUGCAAACCAAUUGUUAUUUGGCACAUUGAGGGAGUACGCCGGAUUUGAUCCCACAGAGCCCACUUCACGCAGUGGGGGUAAAGCAAAAGCAGUGUAGCAAAUAAAACAGGACCAUGGCUACAAGACAAUUGUUACGAUUGGUGAUGGCGCAACUGAUCUGGAGGCUCGGCAACCUGGC